UUUUCUCUCUCCAAAAAAGAAUCCCCAAUAUUUCCCGCCCUUUUCCUCGGCUCCUGCCUCUCAUCGCUAGGGCUCCACUUCCGCUCUCUCCUCAGAUCAAAUGGCGUCUUCAUCUUCGGCGCCUUCCGGCGAAAAUGAUCAACCAUCUCCGGCCAUUAGCGGCAGAGAUGCCGGAGAUGUCAUCACCAGCGUCGGCACAACCGGCGGCGACAACAGCGGCGACAAAAGCAUCGGUCGGGGAGACAGCAUCGGGCGGAAGCAACACCGGUGGAGAUGACAGAAGCGGCCACAACAUCAGGGACGAAAUCACCAGAGGCGACGACGCCGGAGGCGAGAAAGAGAAAAAGAAAUGAAAGCGAGAACAGGACGGUGAUGCUGAGGACCAAGGACAACAAGCUUGUCGAGAUGAAGAAGGAGGCGGCCGAGCUGUCGGAGGUCCUCCACCGUCAGAUCGAGGAGGGAUUCGUCGGCGAUGCAAUCCCCGUCGAUGUCAAGGAAAAAACCCUGAUAAGAGUCAGAGUAUACUGUGACGCGCACUCUCUUUUGGCGUCUUGGCCAUCCGAAGUGGUGAAACAGAGGAUGAAACAGAACUUUGAUGAUGAGUUCUCCCAAACCUUGGAUUUUGCUAAACGUUUCUUCAUGUUUCAGAGUUGUAUGAUGGAAGGCCCAUUGUUUGAUUCUUUGUAUCAAAAUCUUGAAGUUUUGCAACUUCAGUUCUGGUAGACUCCACCAUGGCAAACAUUGCAGUUGCUAUGGACAAAUCACUCGGAUGUUUUCAACUCUGGACAUUAGAAAUAUGAAACUACGUGAAGAGAACAAUAUAAAUCAACAGUUAUUCAAAUCGAGAAUUGGUUUAAAGGCUCAAGAUUUCACAAAGCAUCAAUUGUCGUGCCUUGGGGAGCUGAGAAGAGUAGUAUACAAUGACUUUACACGGGCUCUUGGGAAUGAUGACGAUAACAGCUUCAAACAGUGAUCAGACUCAUUAUAUCUCUAUGAUUGCUGAAGAUCUGCAAAAGCUCGCAUCUGCAUCUCCUCAUGUGAAGGUAAUUUUGAAGCAACGAAGACACUUGCGAGCAACAUCCUUGGAUGCCAUCAAUCAUAGGGUUGAUCCUAAGCUUGAUUCAAAUCCAGCCUAUCCAUAUAUAAUUUAUGUUAUCUUUGUUGAAGUUUUGUUAAGAUUUGGGUACAUUAGCUUUUA